CACCGCUCCUAAAGGAUAACAGCKUAUCCAUUGGUCUUAGGACC
rnacentral:tRNA from 1 species